AGGGAAUUAGUUGAGUGGCAAAAAUGCCUGGCUUACAUCCAGAAGGUCAUUGGUUCGAGCCCAAUAUUCCCUA
rnacentral:tRNA from 1 species